AAGAUAUUAAGAUAAACCCUAGAAAGUUUCGCAGACA
rnacentral:tRNA from 1 species